rnacentral:tRNA from 1 species
AAGAACUUAGUUAAUAUAGAUAACACUGGGAUGUCGGCCCGGAGUAGCAACCACAAUAAGAGUUGCAGUUCUUU